rnacentral:rRNA from 1 species
UACGUAGGGGGCUAGCGUUGUCCGGAAUCAUUGGGCGUAAAGCGCGUGUAGGCGGUCCGGUAAGUCCGCUGUGAAAGUCGGGGGCUCAACCCUCGAAUGCCGGUGGAUACUGUCGGGCUAGAGUGCGGAAGAGGCGAGUGGAAUUCCUGGUGUAGCGGUGAAAUGCGCAGAUAUCAGGAGGAACACCAAUUGCGAAGGCAGCUCGCUGGGACGUUACUGACGCUGAGACGCGAAAGCUAGGGGAGCAAACGGG